rnacentral:rRNA from 1 species
UACCAGCACCCCGAGUGGUCGGGACGUUUAUUGGGCCUAAAGCAUCCGUAGCCGGUUCUGCAAGUCUUCCGUUAAAUCCACCUGCUUAACAGAUGGGCCGCGGAAGAUACUAUAGAGCUAGGAGGCGGGAGAGGCAAGCGGUACUCGAUGGGUAGGGGUAAAAUCCGUUGAUCCAUUGAAGACCGCCAGUGGCGAAGGCGGCUUGCCAGAACGCGCUCGACGGUGAGGGAUGGAAGCUGGGGGAGCAAACCGG